AUAUUGCGCAAUGGGGGAAACCCUGACGCAGCAACGCCGCGUGAGUGAGGAAGGUCUUCGGAUUGUAAAACUCUUUUAUUUGGGAAAAAUGUCCAUGUGGCUAAUAUCCACGUGGAGUGAUGGUACCAAAGGAAUAAGGACCGGCUAACUUCGUGCCAGCAGCCGCGGUAAUACGAAGGGUCCAAGCGUUGUUCGGAAUUAUUGGGCGUAAAGCGCGCGCAGGCGGAUUGAUAAGUCAGGUGUGAAAUCUCGAGGCUCAACCUCGAAACUGCGCCUGAAACUAUUAGUCUAGAAUGUCGGAGGGGGCAGGGGAAUUUCACGUGUAGGGGUAAAAUCCGUAGAGAUGUGAAGGAACACCGGAGGCGAAGGCGCCUGCCUGGACGACUAUUGACGCUGAGGCGCGAAAGCGUGGGGAGCAAACAGG
rnacentral:rRNA from 1 species